UCUCUUUUCUUCUUUCCUAUUCUUCUCUUCUUUUUCUUCUGUUCUUUCUCCUUUCUCUCUGUUGUUCUUCAGUUCGGUGAUUUUGAGCUUAGAGUUGAUGCAAGUAAUUUUAGAAAUAUGGCGGUUGUUGAAUCUUAGAGGUAGGGGUUGUUGUUAUGGAUUAUUUAGAUUGGGAGGAGAAGUUUUUGAUGCUGUUGUGAAUCGGAAGAUUGGGUUUUUGUUUUGGAGUUAUUGAUGAGACUCGAGAGAUGAAGAAUUAGAUUGUGGUAAUGUUUUUGAUAGAGGAAUUAAUAAGUAAUCGAGAAAUUGCAGAGAUCAAAGAAAGAGAACCGUGGUUGUGAGAUUAGGGUUUGGUAUGGGUUUGAAAGGUGAAUUGGGUUGCGGUUAGGUGAAGAACAGAAGGGUUGUAGUCGAAUUGAAGUAUUUAAGUUGUUUCAGUGAUGAAUCGAAGAGUUAGGGUUAGGGUUUUGGAAUUCAAUGGAAGAUUUUUGAUGAGGAAGAUGAAAUUGAGGAUUUAAGUGACAGAUUAGAGAUGGGUUUGGUUGAAUUGAGGAGCUGAAUGGAUGUUAUAAACUCGAAUUGGGGAUUAAAAAUUGAUCUAGGGUUUAUAUGAGGGUUGAUGGUGAUAAUGAAGACUUAAGGUUUUUAUUUGAGAUUGAGAAUAGAAGACUAAUAUCAGAGAAUAAUUGGUGAUGGUGGAGUUGCAUCAAAGGCUGUUUCAAACUCAGGGGAGAUAGGAAUUAUGGUUUCAGCAUCAGUGGGUGGUGGAACAACAAUUCAGGAAAGACUAUUGUUGGAUUGAGAAGAUGAACUGAAGAGUGGUGACGGAAGAAGAGUUGAUAUUGUUACAAGCUAGUGUUGCUAUUCUUGUGAAUCACAGCAUAAUGGACACUGGUGGUGUUAGUGGUUGUUGAUGCAGUGAGAAUUAUAGAUAAAGAUGGAUGGAUGAAUUAGGUGAUGUAUGAACUUGUACAGAUGGGGUGCAGGUGAUGUUGGUAUGGUAAGUACAGGGUCUUGGAGAUGUUAAGGGAGUUGAAUUUCAGGUUUUAGAAGUUGUAGUUGGAGGUAAGAUUAGUGGAUCAAGAAGUAUGAGAUGAAUUUAGUAUUUAAAAUGUAUUAGGUGAUGGAACUGAGAUGGUAUUACAGUUCAUAGGAAUGUGCUAAUGCUAUGAGAGUUGUGGUUGAGCUAAGGGAUAUGAGAAUUGAAAAUUGUAUGAUGUUGUAGACUGAAGAGAGGUUAGAUGAUUAAAUAUAGAGUUGAUAGUAUGUAAGAAGAAUGAAAGCUUGGAACUGCAAUUGCAGGUAAGCUGUAUUGGUGUUUGUAAUUAGAUUUGAAGUUGUUUAAUUAAAAUUGUACGAAAUUUUGUUCUUAA